rnacentral:rRNA from 1 species
UACAGAGGUCCCAAGCGUUGUUCGGAUUCACUGGGCGUAAAGGGUGCGUAGGCGGUCGGGUAAGUCUGAUGUGAAAUCUCACAGCUUAACUGCGAAACUGCAUUGGAUACUAUCCGGCUAGAGGAAUGGAGGGGAGACUGGAAUACUUGGUGUAGCAGUGAAAUGCGUAGAUAUCAAGUGGAACACCAGUGGCGAAGGCGGCUACCUGGACCGGUUCUGACGCUGAGGCGCGAAAGCGUGGGUAGCAAACAGG